AAAUAUGGAGUUUAUGCAAGUUGAAGCCGACCAGACCACGAUUAUCAAAAUCUCUUACACUAUUUUAAUGAUUUUAAUGAUUCUUAGGCUGUGAAUGGUGACCAAAACCGCACCCAAAACCGCACCGCAACAGUGCUGUAAUAGUAUCAAAAUCUCUACUCAUACAUAUGUAUCUAUGUAUUUUUGUUACUAUUUUAACCGCACCGCACUUCUCUCGUACCAUAAAACACAAUCACCAUUCGGAGCCUUAUUCUGUCAUCAGGGGACAAAUCACUAUGUUUAGAGAUGUUGAUACCGUAGAUGAGCCCAUAUAUUAAUAGGGGAUCCACUUUACUAGAUUUUG
rnacentral:sRNA from 1 species